UCACUUGAACCCAGGAGGCGGAGGAUGCAGUGAGCCAAGAUCACGCCACUGCACUCCAGCCUGGGAAACAGAGUGAUACUCCAUCUCAAUCAAUCAGUCAACCAACCAAAUAUAUUAAGCUAUCAGGAUGAUUCUGAUGCAGGCUUGAAUUUGAACACCAUCUCUCCUGCAGGUCCAGACUCUGAGAGAUUUAAGUGGAUGACAAGUAUUUGUUCAGCACCUGCUGUGCAUUGUUUUAUGUACUGAGGAUUCAGCAGCCCACCUGGAGCUGACAUUCUAAUGGAGAAACUAAGAAAAUUGGGAAUACAUAGCCAGCAGAAUUUCAAAACCAAAGAAACACCAAGGAAGAAAAGUCAUGGAAAAAGAAAAACAAAAAAUAAAAAAGCAUUAUGGAAGUAGGCAGAAAUACUAGCCUACAGGGAAAACAAAACUGGGAAGUUAAAUAAUUUCUUUCCAAGACUUGCUAAAUCUUGGUUUUGUGUAACUUCCAGUCCUAUGGCCAAACCUUUACUGUGCCUUAAAGGCUUUGAUGGUUAAUU